rnacentral:rRNA from 1 species
AACCUACGGGGCGCAGCAGUGGGGGGUAUUGCACAAUGGAGGAAACUCUGAUGCAGCGACGCCGCGUGAGGGAAGACGGUCUUCGGAUUGUAAACCUCUGUCUUUGGGGAAGAAAAUGACGGUACCCAAAGAGGAAGCUCCGGCUAACUACGUGCCAGCAGCCGCGGUAAUACGUAGGGAGCGAGCGUUGUCCGGAAUUACUGGGUGUAAAGGGAGCGUAGGCGGGACUGCAAGUUGGGUGUCAAAUCUACCGGCUCAACCGGUAGCCGCACUCAAAACUGCAGUUCUUGAGUGAAGUAGAGGCA